CAAGUCGAACGAUGAUGCUGGAGCUUGCUCCAGUUGAUUAGUGGCGAACGGGUGAGUAACACGUGAGCAAUCUGCCCUUGACUCUGGGAUAACUGCGGGAAACUGUAGCUAAUACCGGAUACUUUCACCGGAAGGCAUCUUCUGGUGAUGAAAGAAUUUCGGUCAGGGAUGAGCUCGCGGCCUAUCAGCUUGUUGGUGAGGUAACGGCUCACCAAGGCGACGACGGGUAACCGGCCUGAGAGGGUGACCGGUCACACUGGGACUGAGACACGGCCCAGACUCCUACGGGAGGCAGCAGUGGGGAAUAUUGCACAAUGGGCGCAAGCCUGAUGCAGCAACGCCGCGUGAGGGAUGAAGGCCUUCGGGUUGUAAACCUCUUUUAGCAGGGAAGAAGCGAAAGUGACGGUACCUGCAGAAAAAGCACCGGCUAACUACGUGCCAGCAGCCGCGGUAAUACGUAGGGUGCAAGCGUUGUCCGGAAUUAUUGGGCGUAAAGAGCUCGUAGGCGGUUUGUCACGUCUGCUGUGAAAAUCCAAGGCUCAACCUUGGACUUGCAGUGGGUACGGGCAGGCUAGAGUGCGGUAGGGGAGAUGGGAAUUCCUGGUGUAGCGGUGGAAUGCGCAGAUAUCAGGAGGAACACCAAUGGCGAAGGCACAUCUCUGGGCCGUAACUGACGCUGAGGAGCGAAAGCGUGGGGAGCAAACAGGAUUAGAUACCCUGGUAGUCCACGCCGUAAACGGUGGGUGCUAGCUGUGGGCCACAUUCCACGUGGUCCGUAACGAAGUUAACACAUUAAGCACCCCGCCUGGGGAGUACGGCCGCAAGGCUAAAGCUCAAAGGAAUUGACGG
rnacentral:rRNA from 1 species